rnacentral:SRP_RNA from 14 species
CGACGUCGUCUCCGGCUUCCGGGCCGAGAUGGCCCGCCUCGGAAAUAUCCAUUGCGCCCACCCGGUCGUCGAAGAGGAUGUGGUGGAUGUGCAGGUCGGCAACGCAGCAGCGGAGGACACAUGCAAGAUGCAGCAGAG